AUGGAGCUCAGCGUCGCCGCCGUAGCCGUGGAGCUCGGCAAGCGGGGCCGCCCCGACGACCAGGACCAGGACCACGGGGAUGCCAAGCGGCUGGCGCUCGUGCCGUGGCCGCCGCACCAGCAGCACCCCUCCUCGCGGAUCUACCGCGUCUCGCGCGGCUCCGGCGGCAAGGACCGCCACAGCAAGGUCUACACGGCCAAGGGCAUCCGCGACCGCCGCGUCCGCCUCUCCGUCGCCACCGCCAUCCAGUUCUACGACCUGCAGGAUCGCCUUGGCUACGACCAGCCCAGCAAGGCCGUCGAGUGGCUCAUCAAGGCUGCCGCCGCCGCAAUCGACAAGCUCCCCGAGCUCGACGCCGCCGCCUUCCCCAACCACCCGGCCUCAGCCAACAAACAGUCUUCUGCUCUUCACGCGGAGGUCGACGGCUCGCAGCUCCAGCAGCAGCAGCUCACCAGAUCGGGCUGCAGCAGCACGUCCGAGACCAGCAAGGGCUCCGUCCUCUCGCUCUCUCGCUCCGACAGCCGCGUCAAGGCCAGGGAGCGCGCGCGCGACCGCAGCGCCUCUGUGAAGGACAAGGACGACUCGGUCACUGCCGCCGUGCGCGGCCGCGCCCCGUCGGCGCAGGCGGCUUCCUUCACCGAGCUCCUCACUGGAUUGGCGGCCGCCACCCCAGCUGUUGCUCAGCACAAGCAGCACAACUCGUGGCAGCAGAUGACCGCGUCUGCCACCGCGGACUACCUCGGCUUCUCCCAGCCCCGGAAAUCCGGGCACGGGAUGCUGCACACCUUCGCCUCCCCGGCCCCGCACCUGGGCAACAUUGCGCCCGUCGCCAUGGCCCCAGCGCAGCACUUCAGCUUAUCAGCCGGCGGCGGCGAUUCGCAGACGGAGAUGCCGCACUUCUCCUUCUCGCACGACCACUACAUGCCCGUCCAUGCGGCGCCAGCGUCGGGUCCGGCAGUAGACUACAGUCUCAACUUCUCCAUGUCCUCGGGUCUUGUGGGUGUCAACAACACUAGGGGGACCCUUCAGUCCAAUUCGCAGCCGCACCUCUCCGGCCACCACCACCACCACCACCAGCAGCUCCAGAGGCUGUCUACUCCACUGGAUGCUCCGCACAUACCCUUCUUGUUCAGCCCAGCCGUCGCGGUGGCCUCCCCCACCACAGCGGAGAGCCACUUCGGCGCGGCGGCCGCAUUGCAGCUCUGGGAGGGGUUCCGGCACUCCGACAUGAAGGAGAAGGGCAAGAACUGA
rnacentral:rRNA from 1 species